AUUAUAAUCUAUCAUUAUGUAUUAUUGCUAUAUGUUAUUAUCUAUCUUUGUCUAUUAUUGUUAUCCAUUAUAUAUUAUUAUAAUAUAUUAUUAUUGUCUAUUAUUAUUAUCUAUCAUUGUCUAUUAUUAUCUAUAUUAUUUAUUAUUGUCUAUUAUAAUCUAUUAUUAUUACCCAAUAUUAUCUAUUUUUUAUCUAUUUUAAUCUAUUAUUAUCUAUCAUUGUCUAUUAUCUAUCAUUAUCUAUUAUUAUAAUCUAUAUGAUCCAUCAUCAUCAUCAUCAUCAUCAUCAUCAUCUUUUAUUAUAAUCUAUCAUUAUGUAUUAUUGCUAUAUGUUAUUAUCUAUCUUUGUCUAUUAUUGUUAUCCAUUAUAUAUUAUUAUAAUAUAUUAUUAUUGUCUAUUAUUAUUAUCUAUCAUUGUCUAUUAUUAUCUAUAUUAUUUAUUAUUGUCUAUUAUAAUCUAUUAUUAUUACCCAAUAUUAUCUCUUUUUAUCUAUUAUUAUCUAUCAUUGUCUAUUAUUAUUAUCUAUUUUUAUCUAUUAUUAUUAUUAUUAUUAAGGGAUCCCCAGAGACUAUCCAGUCCCACCCCCUUCUGCCACAAACCAAGACACGAUCCGAUCCCUCCCGACAGAUGGCCAGUCUUUACGGCCCCUUUUCCUUUGCAGCCGGAGGCUCAGUGGGGCCCCUUUGUCCUCUUUGUGGGGGCCUUGGCCCCACUGACCUUUGACACCCGGGCCCGGUCCGGCGAGAGGCGGCCGGCUGCGUGGGGAUCCUGCUCAGCCUCCAAGGCCUCGUGGUUCCGCGGAAGCUCAACGGGGAGGAGUGGCGCAUGCGCAGCGUCCGCCGGGAUCUCUUCUGCGGAGACGCCGAGAAGGGAGAGGCCGCCUCACGCCAACUAGCCAAGGUGGUCAGCUGGGCCUUGCCCGCAGAGGAGGUCUUGCCCUUCCUGUGCUCCUUGGUCGGCCAGGUGGGGGCGGUCAGUCCGGACUGCGACCGGGGUGCCCUUCUGUGGUUCGAGGUGGCCGUCCAGCACUGGAGGAUGGAGCCGGGCGAUGAGCUCAGGCAGGUCCGCUCCCUGGUGGGCGCCCUCUGCUCCCGGAUGGAGAUCUGUGAGGGGCCCGAUCCGCUGCGCUGCUUGACCGGCGGGCUCUGCGUCCUGGUGGAGCGCUUCCCCGGCCCCGCCUGCCUCUCCCUCCUGCAGUGGAAGGGCCUCCCCGGCAGAGCCUUCUUGACAUGCUCAGGGGACCCUUUCCUGGAUGGGCUUCUGUGUCGCUUCCUCCCUCCUCUAAACCAGCCCAGUGGGAUCUUCAGAGACCUCAGCCUGUCCUUCUGUAUUGAGCUCACGGAGCACCUGAUGGAGCACAGGCCGGAAGUGGUGACGCCGCUCCUGCAAGGUUGGCUGCGUGAAGCCAAGGAAGGAGGUCUCACACCACACGCCACGGCCUUUCAAGGAGUGGAGAACGUGGCGGAAGCAACGGCGAUGGCAGAGGUCAAGACCGACCCUGUGGUGCUGGAAUCCCUCCUGGCAGAGCUACCCCACUACCUGUCCUCUCCUUUGGAGGAGGUCCAAUUGGAAGCCUGCAAACUGGCUGGCAUCCUCCUGGAGAACAUGGACACGCUCUGCUCUGAGACCCUGGACCUGGAGCCUCUUUCACAAGGCCUUCGAGCCUUGACCCGCGACCCCGGCCUGGGCCCAGCACUGACCGCAGCCGCGGAGGAGGUCCAGUCACGGUGCCUAGACCGCCAGGCUUCUUCCCGCCGGAGGAGCCCGGGCUUCCUUCGCCGGUUCUUCAUGUGGCAGAGAAAAGGUAGACAACGGGGAGGCGCCAGGCCUUGACCCAGAAAUACAUAGCGUUUGGCACGUGGCUCUGUGUGUGUGGUGCGUUCUUUGGGAGCGGGGCGGAAACUCUCAUCAAGACACCAUUUUCUGAAGAAAAAUAUUUUAUUUCUCUCGGCUAAUACAAAGCGGAAGAAAUUGCGGGGGUCCUGGAAGGGGGUCUAUUCCCCGGGGGUGGCGGCAGCAGCGGCGGUGGCGGCGGCCUUGUCCUGGCUGGAGGCGGACGGGGAGGCGUGGGCGGCGGUGGCGGAGGUGCGGGAGAAGACCCGGGACAGGGCGCUGGAGACCUUCUCGAAGACGGAGGAGCGCUGCUGGCGGGGGGUGACCCCCGUGUCCGAGGUGGUGACCGCGAGCACCUUCCCGUCCUCGGCUUCUGCAGCGGAAGAGGGGAGCCGUGGCAUUUUUCGGGGGGCCCAAAUCCCCCUCUGCCACCUCCCCGAAUCCCCAGUCCAGACCUUCCCAGACGUACAAAGGCAGGUGAAGAGCCUACCUGAGUGCUCUUCGGAGAUGGAAUCCUUCAUGUUACGGUCCUGGUAGACGGAAGUGAUCUAGAGAAGGGGGAAAAGUGGGCGUAAAGCUGUGACUCGGGGCCCACCUUGACCUGUGGGGCUGGUCACGCCACACACCGCGGCCAUUGGUGGUGGCAAAGGUGGGGAAUGUACAUAACAGGAAACCUGUUUUCGCCGAGAGUUUUCUCGAGUCCCUGUUCGUGCGCCAAAACAGUUGAGUAUCCCAAAUAGCAUCUACUUCCAAUCACCUUGACCUAUGGGGCUGGUCACCCCACACACCGUGGCCAUUGGUGAUGGCAAAGGUGGGGAACGUACAUAGCGGGAAGCCUUAAAGGGAAACACCGAGAGUUUUCUCGAGUCCCUGUUUGGGCGCCAAAACAGUUGAGUAUCCCAAAUAGCAUCUACUUCCAAUCACCUUGACCUGUGGGGCUGGUCACCCCACACACUGCGGCCAUUGGUGGUGGCAAAGGUGGGGAACGUACAUAACAGGAAGCCCGUUUUCUCCGAGAGUUUUCUCGAGUCCCUGUUCGUGCGCCAAAACGGUUGAGUCUCGAUGCCAAAUAGCAUCUACAGUAGAGUCCCGGUUAUUCGACAUAAAUGUCGAAUAACCGGAUCUGACGGAUGAUAGGGAGGCCCUAUUAUCCAGCAAGCCGGUUGAAGGAAGUGUCCCGUGCACGUUGCUAGGUAGAUAGCAAGCUACCUAGCAACGUGCAGGAGCGCUUCUGCUCCGCCUCUUGGGAGGUGCCCU
rnacentral:lncRNA from 11 species